rnacentral:rRNA from 1 species
GUGAGGAAUAUUGCGCAAUGGAGGCAACUCUGACGCAGCCAUGCCGCGUGCAGGAAGAAGGCGCUACGCGUUGUAAACUGCUUUUAACCGGGAAGAAACCCCAGGACGUGUCCUGGGUUGACGGUACCGGAGGAAUAAGCACCGGCUAACUUCGUGCCAGCAGCCGCGGUAAUACGAAGGGUGCAAGCGUUAUCCGGAUUCAUUGGGUUUAAAGGGUGCGUAGGCGGAGCGUUAAGUCAGUGGUGAAAUCCUGCAGCUUAACUGAGGACUUGCCAUUGAUACUGGCGCUCUUGAGUGCGCUUGAAGUGGGCGGAAUGUGCCGUGUAGCGGUGAAAUGCUUAGAUAUGGCACAGAACACCAAUUGCGAAGGCAGCUCACUAAGGCGAUACUGACGCUGAGGCACGAAAGCGUGGGGAUCGAACAGGAUUAGAAACCCGUGUAGUCC